UCCGCCAUAGCUCAGUUGGUAGUAGCGCAUGACUGUUAAUCAUGAUGUCGUAGGUGCGAGUCCUACUGGCGGAG
rnacentral:tRNA from 1 species